UUUCAUUUAUUUGAGAAUCGUAUUGGGUUUUCCUUAUUUCUUACGUCUUGCGCUCUAUGUCUAUCGUUCGCUGCGGCCCAAUAGAUAUUACGCGACCUCUAACCCUAAUUGCUCAAUCACGUGAAAUCCUUUCGUUCCUCUCUUUCUGCAGCGGCGAUGUAUGACGUCUGCUAUACCUUUCUCUUGAUUGAAACGGCCGGAGUUAUGGAUCCGUCUUUAUUCCAAUUUAAUUCAAUCGUCCACUACAGACUCUUUGCUGCGCCGUUCGUAUCUCAUGGGCGGUGUGGAUCUGUAUAAAUAUGUAAGUACUUCUUAUCUCAGUCUCAUACUCUCUUUAUUCCGGCGAUGAUGAAGAGGAAACUGAGGACCGUAAAAUCUUCUCCGACGACAAGGAGUACAAAAUGUUCCACGACUUUAAGAUCCAGGCCUGAAAGAAUCGGGUAACGUUAUGACCCUUCUUUGUUUAUCCAAUUUUAUAAAGUUGAAUAGUUUAUCUGUUUCAUUUUUAGGGUUUUUUUGAAGAAGAUCCCUUCAGGUCCAUCUUCCCCCUUACUGAUCUGGAAGAACCUUGGAUCGACAUGACCACAAGGGAAUAUUUGGAGUCUAUUGUCUCCUUAUGUGUUAAGAAGCUCAACGAGGAGAAGAAUACAACCGAUUUGUAAGCAUCCUGAUGGUCCUCUCAUGGAGUAUCAAGCCAAGGCCAUGGAUUUUGGAGGAAAACCUCCUUUUCCCAUCCUCUGCAGACCAGCUUCUACCAUAUCCUAAGCUAAGACUUGCAUAGAUUUGGUAUGCUGGUGGUUGACUACGAGGAAGACCAAUCAUAAUGUAUUGAAAUGAGUCUUUUAUGAGUAAGCUGAGUCCCAAGUGGAUUUAGGUUGUAUUGAUGCUAGCUAUAUGUCUUUUGCGUUGAGACUUAUGGAUUUAAUAUUGUUGAGACUUAUUGAUUUAAUAUUAUGGAUUUUAAUGAUGGUUGUUAUAUUA